rnacentral:misc_RNA from 1 species
UGGCUCUCGCAUCGAUGAAGAACGCAGCGAAUUGCGAUAAGUAAUGUGAAUUGCAGAAUUCAGUGAAUCAUCGAAUCUUUGAACGCACCUUGCGCUCCCUGGUAUUCCGGGGAGCACGCCUGUUCGAGUGUCGUGAAUACCUCAAGUUGGACGGCUUUAUUGCUUGUCUGGCUUGGAUAUGGAUGCUGCUGUCUUGCCCUUUGCAGGGUGAUGGCUCGUCUUAAAUGGAUUAGCUGAUCCUUGACUUGUGUGCUUGGUUCUACUCGGCGUGAUAAUUCUCUGACCGCUGAGGACAUCUUCGGAUGGCCAGGUAUACCUCGGAUCGCUUCUAAUUGUCUUUGUGACAACCUUCUUCACCCUUUGACCUCGAAUCAGGUGGGACUACCCGCUGA